AGGAAUUUUGCGCAAUGGGGGAAACCCUGACGCAGCAACGCCGCGUGAGUGAUGAAGGCUUUCGGGUCGUAAAGCUCUGUCAAGUGAGAAGAACCUGUCCUUUGCUAAUAUCACUGGGCACUGACGGUAUCAC
rnacentral:rRNA from 1 species